AUGAACGCUGGCGGCGUGCCUAAUACAUGCAAGUCGGGCGAACAGACGAGGAGCUUGCUCCUCUGACGUUAGCGGCGGACGGGUGAGUAACCCGUGGAUAACCUACCUAUAAGACUGGGAUAACUUCGGGAAACCGGAGCUAAUACCGGAUAAUAUAUUGAACCGCAUGGUUCAAUAGUGAAAGACGGUUUUGCUGUCACUUAUAGAUGGAUCCGCGCCGCAUUAGCUAGUUGGUAAGGUAACGGCUUACCAAGGCAACGAUGCGUAGCCGACCUGAGAGGGUGAUCGGCCAGACUGGAACUGAGACACGGACAAGACUCCUACGAGAGGAAGCAGUAGGGAAUCUUCCGCAAUGGGCGAAAGCCUGAAGGAGCAACGCCGAGUGAGUGAUGAAGGUCUUCGGAUCGUAAAACUCUGUUAUUAGGGAAGAACAAAUGUGUAAGUAACUAUGCACGUCUUGACGGUACCUAAUCAGAAAGCCACGGCUAACUACGUG
rnacentral:rRNA from 1 species